UCAUUUCCAAAAACUGUCUACAUUUUGGGUUCAGCAAGGACGUUUGAAUCCAGUGAAGUUUCCCUCAGGCGUUUUUGACAGAAACAGCUUAUUUAUGAGAGACUGAUGUGGAGAUGGUCAGAGGAUGUGCCGGGUCGCCGCCGAGCCAACAGGGACCCGGACUGAUCUACUGUAUGCGGAAAAGCUCUGGGAGACGUGUGAAUAAGUGAGACGUUACAGACUGAUGGGAUUCCCAGAGAGCCAACAAACGGACAACGUGAUGCAGAAAACAGAUGGAGACGGCGCCGCCUCCCUCGUCUUUUACACAUCCGUGAAAACACACCAAUGAACGCAACACAGAGAGACACACACCUGCCUCAGCUGGAUGAUCUAUGAGCCUCUGAAGGGAAAUUUGUUUAACCUAUCCUGUAAAAUAAUGUGAUUUUUCUCACCCACA